rnacentral:rRNA from 1 species
UGGGGAAUAUUGCACAAUGGGCGCAAGCCUGAUGCAGCCAUGCCGCGUGUGUGAAGAAGGCCUUCGGGUUGUAAAGCACUUUCAGCGGGGAGGAAGGCGAUAAGGUUAAUAACCUUGUCGAUUGACGCUACCCGCAGAAGAAGCACCGGCUAACUCCGUGCCAGCAGCCGCGGUAAUACGGAGGGUGCAAGCGUUAAUCGGAAUUACUGGGCGUAAAGCGCACGCAGGCGGUCUGUCAAGUCGGAUGUGAAAUCCCCGGGCUCAACCUGGGAACUGCAUUCGAAACUGGCAGGCUAGAGUCUUGUAGAGGGGGGUAGAAUUCCAGGUGUAGCGGUGAAGUGCGUAGAGAUCUGGAGGAAUACCGGUGGCGAGGGCGGCCCCCUGGACGAAGACUGACGCUCAGGUGCGAAAGCGUGGGGAGCAAACAGG